AUUGAACGCUGGCGGCAGGCCUAACACAUGCAAGUCGAGCGGAUGAAGGGAGCUUGCUCCUGGAUUCAGCGGCGGACGGGUGAGUAAUGCAUAGGAAUCUGCCUGGUAGUGGGGGAUAACGUCCGGAAACGGGCGCUAAUACCGCAUACGUCCUGAGGGAGAAAGGGGGGGAUCUUCGGACCUCACGCUAUCAGAUGAGCCUAGGUCGGAUUAGCUAGUUGGUGGGGUAAAGGCCUACCAAGGCGACGAUCCGUAACUGGUCUGAGAGGAUGAUCAGUCACACUGGAACUGAGACACGGUCCAGACUCCUACGGGAGGCAGCAGUGGGGAAUAUUGGACAAUGGGCGAAAGCCUGAUCCAGCCAUGCCGCGUGUGUGAAGAAGGUCUUCGGAUUGUAAAGCACUUUAAGUUGGGAGGAAGGGCAGUAAGUUAAUACCUUGCUGUUUUGACGUUACCAACAGAAUAAGCACCGGCUAACUUCGUG
rnacentral:rRNA from 1 species